rnacentral:tRNA from 8 species
GCGGAUGUAGCUCAGUUGGUAGAGCACGACCUUGCCAAGGUCGGGGUCGCGAGUUCGAGUCUCGUCAUCCGCUCAA